rnacentral:tRNA from 1 species
UCCGAUGUAGCUCAAUUGGCAGAGCGGGUGGCUGUUAACCACUAGGUUCCUGGUUCAAGUCCAGGCAUCGGAG